GAUGAACGCUAGCUACAGGCUUAACACAUGCAAGUCGAGGGGCAGCAUGGUCUUAGCUUGCUAAGGCCGAUGGCGACCGGCGCACGGGUGAGUAACACGUAUCCAACCUGCCGUCUACUCUUGGACAGCCUUCUGAAAGGAAGAUUAAUACAAGAUGGCAUCAUGAGUCCGCAUGUUCACAUGAUUAAAGGUAUUCCGGUAGACGAUGGGGAUGCGUUCCAUUAGAUAGUAGGCGGGGUAACGGCCCACCUAGUCUUCGAUGGAUAGGGGUUCUGAGAGGAAGGUCCCCCACAUUGGAACUGAGACACGGUCCAAACUCCUACGGGAGGCAGCAGUGAGGAAUAUUGGUCAAUGGGCGAGAGCCUGAACCAGCCAAGUAGCGUGAAGGAUGACUGCCCUAUGGGCUGUAAACUUCUUUUAUAAAGGAAUAAAGUCGGGUAUGGAUACCCGUUUGCAUGUACUUUAUGAAUAAGGAUCGGCUAACUCCGUG
rnacentral:rRNA from 1 species